ACUCCUACGGGGAGGCAGCAGUGGGGAAUAUUGCACAAUGGGGGGAAACCCUGAUGCAGCCAUGCCGCGUGUGUGAAGAAGGCCUUCGGGUUGUAAAGCACUUUCAGUAGGGAGGAAGGUAGUGUAGUUAACACCUGCAUUAUUUGUACGUUACCUACAGAAGAAGCACCGGCUAACUCCGUGCCAGCAGCCGCGGUAAUACGGAGGGUGCGAGCGUUAAUCGGAAUUACUGGGCGUAAAGCGCAUGCAGGCGGCCUGUUAAGUCAGAUGUGAAAGCCCGGGGCUUAACCUCGGAAUUGCAUUUGAAACUGGCAGGCUAGAGUCUUGUAGAGGGGGUUAGAAUUUCAGGUGUAGCGGUGAAAUGCGUAGAGAUCUGAAGGAAUACCGAGUGGCGAAGGCGGCCCCUGGACAAAGACUGACGCUCAGAUGCGAAAGCGUGGGAGCAAACAGGAUUAGAUACCCCGUGGUAAGGCUCUAGCGUAAGUCGGUGGAAGGACGAACGGACGUACCGA
rnacentral:rRNA from 1 species